GUUAAGACGUGUGCUCUUCCGUACUCUUCAGUAGCCCAUAUAGCUAUGGUGAUUGGGGGGCUAAUAACUCUCUAUUCAUGGGGAUUUAUGGGGGCCUUAGUGAUGAUAGUAGCUCAUGGAGUUUCCUCUUCAGGUUUAUUUUGUAUGGUUAACUUAUACUAUGAACGAACUGGGAGCCGAAGUUUUUUUAUUAAUAAGGGGCUUAUUUUAAGUUUUCCUAUUUUUUCUUUACUAAUAUUUUUUCUCUGCGCGUCGAAUAUUGCUGCCCCCCCCCGACUAUUAAUUUAUUAUCAGAGAUUUUUUUGAUAGCUAGAAUUAUGAGUUACGAUUAUAUUAUACUUUUAUUCUUUCCCCUAGGCUCCUUUUUAGGGGCGGUUUUUACAUUAUUUAUAUUUUCGUUUU